rnacentral:rRNA from 1 species
CCCUUAGAUGUCCUGGGCCGCACGCGCGCUACACUGAACGGAUCAGCGCGUUUUCCCUUCCCGAGAGGGACGGGUAACCUGCUGAACCCCGUUCGUGGUAGGGAUCGGGGCUUGCAAUUAUUCCCCGUGAACCAGGAAUGCCCAGUAAGUGCAAGUCAUAAGCUUGCGUUGAUUACGUCCCUGCCCUUUGUACACACCGCCCGUCGCUACUACCGAUUGAACGUUUUAGUGAGGCACUCGGACUGAGCCUCAGAAGAUUCACGUCUUUUGUGCUGCUCGGGAAGAUUCCCAAACUUGAGCGUUUAGAGGAAGUAAAAGUCGUAACA